UACGUAGGGUGCAAGCGUUGUCCGGAAUUAUUGGGCGUAAAGAGCUCGUAGGCGGUCUGUCGCGUCUGCUGUGAAAUCUCAGGGCUUAACCCUGAGCUUGCAGUGGGUACGGGCAGACUAGAGUGCGGUAGGGGAGACUGGAAUUCCUGGUGUAGCGGUGAAAUGCGCAGAUAUCUGGAGGAAUACCGGUGGCGAAGGCGGCAUCCUGGACCGAGAUUGACACUGAUGAGCGAAAGCCAGGGGAGCAAACGGG
rnacentral:rRNA from 1 species